CUCAGCGAUAGAAUGGAUCGAUCAUGCAAGAUUAAGAUGUCGCUGAGAGGUACUUAUGUAAAUAACCACCACAGUGCCUCGCACAACACAAAUGCUUGGCAAAUACUGAGUGACACUUCGAUAAUGUGUGGGGAGAGGAGGGGAGAGACCACCAUGAGGCCAAGAAGAGGAUUCUAAGCCAUCUGCCUAGCUCCUGGCCUACAGCAGCGAAUGAGAAAGAAUACAAAAACUUGUGGAAAUGUAUAGAUACAAAUGCUCUGAAGAAAGACCAGAAACAGAAGGCAAAGAAAUUAGAGUGCUAAUCAUAUCGUAUCAUCCUUAGUGCCAUAACGCCAAAUAUGUACUUGAAAUAGCAAAAUACGUCUGUCAUAUCCUAUUUCUAAAAUCCAGGACUUCUGAACUCAAAUCAGUAUCUGCUAUCAAAAACUAAUCAAUUGAAUCCUUGCACUAUGAAUAUCUCCAGUAAAGAUAUUCAUGAUA